CAGGCCUAACACAUGCAAGUCGAACGCCCCGCAAGGGGAGUGGCAGACGGGUGAGUAACACGUGGGAACGUACCCUUUGGUUCGGAACAACCCUGGGAAACUAGGGCUAAUACCGGAUACGUGCUUUGACAGGGAUGUCAUGGCAGAAAGGUUUACCGCCGAAGGAUCGGCCCGCGUCUGAUUAGCUAGUUGGUGAGGUAACGGCUCACCAAGGCGACGAUCAGUAGCUGGUCUGAGAGGAUGAUCAGCCACAUUGGGACUGAGACACGGCCCAAACUCCUACGGGAGGCAGCAGUGGGGAAUAUUGGACAAUGGGCGCAAGCCUGAUCCAGCCAUGCCGCGUGAGUGAUGACGGCCUUAGGGUUGUAAAGCUCUUUUACCUGGGAAGAUAAUGACGGUACCAGGAGAAUAAGCCCCGGCUAACUUCGUGCCAGCAGCCGCGGUAAU
rnacentral:rRNA from 1 species